rnacentral:rRNA from 1 species
CACGUAGGGUGCAAGCGUUGUCCGGAAUCAUUGGGCGUAAAGAGCUCGUAGGCGGCUUAGUAAGUCGGGUGUGAAAACCCCAGGCUCAACCUGGGGACGCCACCCGAUACUGCUAUAGCUAGAGUCCAGUAGGGGAGUGUGGAAUUCCCAGUGUAGCGGUGAAAUGCGCAGAUAUCGGGAGGAACACCAAUGGCGAAGGCAGCUCGCUGGGACGGUACUGACGCUGAGACGCGAAAGCGUGGGGAGCAAACAGGG